rnacentral:rRNA from 1 species
AAUAGAUACCCAGGUAGUCCACGCCGUAAACGAUGAGUGCUAAGUGUUAGAGGGUUUCCGCCCUUUAGUGCUGAAGUUAACGCAUUAAGCACUCCGCCUGGGGAGUACGGCCGCAAGGCUGAAACUCAAAGGAAUUGACGGGGGCCCGCACAAGCGGUGGAGCAUGUGGUUUAAUUCGAAGCAACGCGAAGAACCUUACCAGGUCUUGACAUCCUCUGACAACCCUAGAGAUAGGGCUUCUCCUUCGGGAGCAGAGUGACAAGUGGUGCAUGGUUGUCGUCAGCUCGUGUCGUGAGAUGUUGGGUUAAGUCCCGCAACGAGCGCAACCCUUGAUCUUAGUUGCCAUCAUUAAGUUGGGCACUCUAAGGUGACUGCCGGUGACAAACCGGAGGAAGGUGGGGAUGACGUCAAAUCAUCAUGCCCCUUAUGACCUGGGCUACACACGUGCUACAAUGGACGGUACAAAGAGCUGCAAGACCGCGAGGUGGAGCUAAUCUCAUAAAACCGUUCUCAGUUCGGA